GUGGAAAAUAAAUAUUAAAAAAUUUCAUGUCAACGAAGAAAACUGAUACAAGUUUGAAAAUUUUUUUAUUUUGAUUUUGUUUGUUUUUGUGUGAUUUAAAUAAAAAAAAAAGUGUUUACUUCGAAUUUUUGUGGAAUAAUUCUACUACAACAAUUCAAUUCAAAGUUAAAGAAGAAUAAUUAAACGUGAUUGGUUUUUGAUUUCUUAAACAAAAUCUCAUUGGCUUUGACGAGACCGGUUUCAAAAAAAUUUAACAAAAAGUUUUUUGUGUGUUUCAAAACAAAGCCAGCCACAAUACCAGCUUUUGCUUUGUAUACAAAAACAUAAUAUCACCCCAGCUAUAUCUAUCUUUUUCUGAACAACCACAAGACAUGCGCUAAAAGUAAUUUGUGAUCUCUCUCACACCAAUAUAAUAUUACACAAU